rnacentral:rRNA from 1 species
AUUGAACGCUGGCGGCAGGCCUAACACAUGCAAGUCGGGCGAGCGGCGGACGGGUGAGUAAUGUAUGGGGAUAUGCCUGAUGGACGGGGAUAACUACUGGCAACGGUAGCUAAUACCGCAUACCAACAGUUGACACCAUAUGGGAUUAGCUUGUAGGUGAGGUAACGGCUCACCUAGGCGACGAUCCCUAGCUGAUCUGAGAGGAUGAUCAGCCAAAAUGGGACGUAUACACGGCCCUGGAUCCUCCGGACGGCAGCAGUGUGGAAUAUUGCAACAUGGGCGCAAGCCUGAUGCAGCCAUGCUGCGUGUAGGAAGAAGGCCUUCGGGUUGUAAAGUUCUUUCAGUCAGGAGGCGUUACCGACAGAAGAAGCACCGGAUAACUCCGUGCCAGCAGCCGCGGUAAUAC